GGUACAGGGGUGAGAGCACUGGUCUGGUAAACCAGGGGUUGUGAGUUCACAUCUCAC
rnacentral:tRNA from 1 species